GCCCGAGAGGCGGUGGCGCCCCUCACCGCGGCCCCGGGGCGCUCCUCCCGGCUGCCUUCACACCCCCUUCUCGACCUUCGGGGUCCCUUCAGCAGAGCCCUACGGCUGCGGCCUCGUUCACCGCUGCUACGUGUGAUCACCGUGCACCGCGCCGAGCUGCCGCCAGCCCCGGCUGCCUUCCUGCGGGUACCGGGCUGGGGAAGAGCAAACAAGCUGUUGUUUGUAGAGCGCGCAGGAACACGGGAUGCUGAAUAGCCGUGUGUGCAGCUAUUCCUGUCUUAACUAUCCUGACUCCAAAUUCUUCCAGUGGCCUCCUCAUGCUCCUUCAUCUGCCCUGUUCUCUGGUGUCACAGGGACUUCUUCAGUGCCUUACACACUUCUCCGUGGAUGAAAUGGAGCAGCCUGGCACAAAGCCUGUGAGCCUUCACCAACGAUUUAAGCAGAGCCUGGUGGUCUUCAGGGGAGGAAGCCAUCUGCUCUUAACUACAUUUCCAGUGGCCAAAAGACACCUCGUGGAGAACUGCUGAUGUUCCUUUUAAUGUCAUAAAGAAGGUGAACAAAGCACUUCUUCCUGGGCUUCACCACUAUCCUCUUCCAAAGGCUCAGCACGCUCACUGCAUUCUCUGCAGCACUCACCUGGUGCCCACUGAUGCAGACAAAGACUUGGAACAGCAGCAUGACCGAACAGAGAUCACAAGAUCCUUCCUGUGAUUCAUCAGUCUUCUUGAUGAACCUCAACCUGACUGAUGUCCUCAUAAAGAGAGGUGCAGGAACUGAAACCCCAGCAGAGAUGAGUUACUGACCACUCACACCGACUGGACAAAUUACCUAUGAGCAUCUUCAGUACAGCUAGCAAGUGUUUGAAUUUCUCCAUUUAAAUAGACUUUUGGGGGAGGGAUGUGUUGAAGAAGAACCCAAGGAAAUUGGAAAUACUCCUAAAACAUGAAGUGUGCCUUGGACUAGCUGUUUUCCAAGUGGUGCACGUGACAACGAGCAUUUGGUGUCCCAGGGUACAUACGUUGUCCUGCUGAUGGCGAAAGGAUCUCAAGCUCGAUCUGUUUUUUAUCAGCAUUCCAACUGAUGAUUUUCCCCUCCUUCAUAAAGCAACAAAGAAAGAAUCAGAUCCCUGAUGAUGCCACGUGUACCCAGACACGGUUUCUUCACAAGAGGAAAGUGCAAGAACCAAGUCUCCCACUCCUGGAUCCUGAUGCCGAUCACAGGCGCGGGUAGUCUUCCAGGACUCACAGUUCCAAAGGAUUUACGUUCAGGUCAGGCUGUGAGCGGAGAUCAGGGAGAUGGAUCCUGGUCUCCUCAACCACAGUGAUUUCAUUUCAAUUUACUUUUUUAUUUUGCAGUGAAGUGGAAUUAUUUAUAUGGUAAAAUUUGUAAUAAUAUUAUAGAAACGCUACAGAGAAAUACCAUAGAGGUAUCUUUCAUUUUUAUAGCACCUAAUUUUAAUGCUGACUUUCCUUGCAUGUUGGAAAGAGAGAGGUAACAUGCUUCUUUCUGGCCUUCUAUUUAAACAUAAACUUUGAAAAUAUGUCCAUGGUAAAGAGACUUUGUGAAGGUGCAGUGAGAAAAUGCUGUUAUUUGUGAGCUGACUAAUGUGCUGGCUAAGAGUCACUGUACAAACGUACACGGAGAUUCACACUGAAAUGGCAGCGGAGACAUUUCUUUGUUUAUGUUGUACAAAUAUAGGAAGUCUAAAGAAAUGCAUUUAACUCAUUCACAUGCUCCAAAUCUUUGUAAAAGUCAAAGUCAGACUUAAAACACAGGUUUUUAGAGCCAAAACCAGAAACCAUAACAGUUUGUUAUAUGGGAAACUACUAGGUUGGAAAGACAGUGAGAGAGAAGUGAAUGCUUUCAGAGAUGCCUGCAAACAUUAGACACAAGAAUUGUGCUGAGCCAUUUGCUUCAGUUUAAAACAAGACUUUUAGAAAAGAACAAAAAAGUAGGAUGAAGACUCCUUCCAAACUCUUAUACUUCAAGGGUUACGUCCCAGAACAAUGCAGGAUGAAGUUCUUCGGUGUAAGCUUUUUGAUGUCAGGACUGUGUGAUCUGUAGCGUGCCCUGCAGAACUUACCAUAGCCCAAAUGAAACAAUUUUAGCCCACUAACAUUGCGCAUUUCACAAGUUCUUUACCUUAAAGGCAAUUCUUUCUCCCACUUGUGGUGGAGCAGCAAGAAGAGGUAACACACUAUAGUCUCUCUUGGGGACCUCCACGGGACUCUGUGAAACGAACAGUAAAUUUAAUUACUGAUUUAAUUACUGCAUUAAUAAAACAGAAGACAAAGUU